rnacentral:rRNA from 1 species
CCUACGGGGGGCAGCAGUGGGGAAUAUUGGACAAUGGGGGGAACCCUGAUCCAGCCAUGCCGCGUGUGUGAAGAAGGCCCUCGGGGUGUAAAGCACUUUCAGUGAGGAAGAACGCCUGGUGGUUAAUACCCAUCAGGAAAGACAUCACUCACAGAAGAAGCACCGGCUAACUCCGUGCCAGCAGCCGCGGUAAUACGGAGGGUGCGAGCGUUAAUCGGAAUUACUGGGCGUAAAGCGCGCGUAGGUGGCUUGAUAAGCCGGUUGUGAAAGCCCCGGGCUCAACCUGGGAACGGCAUCCGGAACUGUCAAGCUAGAGUGCAGGAGAGGAAGGUAGAAUUCCCGGUGUAGCGGUGAAAUGCGUAGAGAUCGGGAGGAAUUCCAGUGGCGAAGGCGGCCUUCUGGACUGACACUGACACUGAGGUGCGAAAGCGUGGGUAGCAAACAGGAUUAGAUACCCGGGUAGUC